ensembl:misc_RNA Metazoa_SRP Metazoan signal recognition particle RNA
GCUGGGCAUGGUGGCACAUGCCUGUAGUCCCAGCUACUUGGGAGGCUGAGGUGGGAGGAUUGCUUGAGCCCAGGAGUUCUGGGCUGUAGUGCACUAUGCCAAUCAGGUGUCCGCACUAAGUUCAGCAUCUAUAUGGUGACCUCCCAGGAGCAGAGGACCACCAGGUUGCCUAAGGAAGGAGGAACCGGCCGAGGUCGGAAAUGACACAGUCAAAACUCCCCUGCUGAUCAGUAGUGGGAUCUCACCUGUGAAGAGCCACUGCACUCCAACCUGGGCAACAUAUCGAGACCUGGUCUCUU